rnacentral:rRNA from 1 species
UACGUAGGUGACAAGCGUUGUCCGGAUUUACUGGGCGUAAAGAGCGCGCAGGCGGUCGAUCAAGUCGAGUGUGAAAGCCCCCGGCUCAACUGGGGAGGGUCAUUCGAUACUGAUCGACUCGAAGGCAGGAGAGGGUAGUGGAAUUCCCGGUGUAGUGGUGAAAUGCGUAGAUAUCGGGAGGAACACCAAUGGCGAAGGCAGCUCGCUGGGGACGGUACUGACGCUGAGACGCGAAAGCGUGAGGAGCAAACAGG